rnacentral:ncRNA from 2 species
CACUUCGUAUCAGAAAGCCACUGAAGAACAUAGUACUCGGCAAAAGAGCCCUGAAAUACACAGGAGAAUUGACAUCUCACCAAGUACCCUGAGGAAGCAUACCCGUUUAGCAGGGGAAGAGAGAGUUUUUAAAGAAGAAAAUCAAAAGAUGCCUCUUUCCAUCUUCCUAAAUUAUAUAGUAUUUGAAAAAGCAAUGGAACAAGAAGGAGGGAGAUAAAAAAUUAAGGUGUGACUCUGCUGACCUUCGGCAUGACAUUGAUCGCCGUAGAAAAGAAAGAAGUAAAGAACGGGGAGAUUCCAAGGGCUCCAGGGAAUCCAGUGGAUCAAGAAAGCAGGAAAAAACUCCAAAAGAUUACAAGGAAUACAAAUCUUACAAAGAUGACAGGUAAUUGUUCAAACUGACUAAGAUAGGUUUUAGCUUCUAAUUAGCCUUUAAUAAUUGUCAGCUUAAUUGCUUUCAAUUUUGACUGUGUAAUCGAAUGUUUAAAUUUAAACAAUUAAAAUUAUUUGUUUUACAGCAAAAAUGUAUUUGUCUUUUACACGGCUUAUGGUGGAUGAGG